rnacentral:rRNA from 1 species
CGUAGGUAACCUGCCUGGUAGCGGGGGAUAACUAUUGGAAACGAUAGCUAAUACCGCAUAACAGUAGAUGUUGCAUGACAUUUGCUUAAAAGUGCAAUUGCAUCACUACCAGAUGGACCUGCGUUGUAUUAGCUAGUUGGUGGGGUAACGGCUCACCAAGGCGACGAUACAUAGCCGACCUGAGAGGGUGAUCGGCCACACUGGGACUGAGACACGGCCCAG